AGUGCCUGGACACUGCCAAUCUCCCACUGUGAAGAUAAUGGACUGAACCUCUGAACCUAUAAGGUGUUCUCUUUCCUGAAGUGAAAUGAAGAGGUGGUAGAUGAGUGGGAAGAGGUGGAGAUGUGUUCUCUUUCCUGAAGUGAAAUGAAGAGGUGGUGGAUGAGUGGGAAGAGAUGGAGCUGUGAGUGGAGAAAAGAAGAUAAAUCUAUUACCAGAUAUUUACUUGUUAUUAUCUCCAUCAACAUUAACCGGUGGUGAUUUUAAGUGAGAUAAACACCAGCGCAAUCAAAGUCUUAUGUACUAAUAAUAAACAUACACAACAAAGUUUUCUAUAUUAAAAUAAAGCUUCAAUUCUUGUACCCUAACCUUCUGUGUAUGUUUGGGUAACUGAGAACAUAGACCUGUGUUCUUCUGUUGAAAGGGAUAGUAAUAUAUGUAUAUAUUAAUUACAAAGUCAUGUAAUAACAAUAAAAAGAGAUGAAAUUAAUUUUAAAUUAAUAGAAGUGAAAUCUAUGAAAAGUUGCAGAGAGUAAAGAGAAGCAUGAAAAUUAAUAUAUUAUUGUAUGAAAGAUAAAAUAAAAUAUUACUUCUGGUAAACUAGAGAGAUUCAGUUCCUAUAUAGUUAAGGAUUGGCAAUUAUAAACAUCAUUGUUAAAAUCAUAAUUAAUUAAUAAUUGUUAUACGUAUAAGUGUAUGUAUAUAUGUCAUAAAUAAAAAUUAUUAAAUAAUAGCAACUGAAAAUCAACUGUUAAGUGGAUAUAAGUAAUUGUAGCUUGUACUAAGACUGCUGGUGAUGGUGUGAUCUCUAUCUUGAGAACCACGUCGUAGAAGGAGGUCACUGAUUCCAUAACAUUAACUCUUAAUUUCACAGGCAGAUAAACAAAAAUACAAAAGUAAAAAAGGUGAAAGAAUGUAGUAAUGAAUACAAGACAGGAGGAAAGAGGAGAGAGAGAAUGAGAGCUUAUGGUAAAGGUAUAUAAGA